GAAGCCUUCAGCAUUCCCACUGCUCAACCAUGCUCGUGGUGCUCAUCCCAGUACUGGGGAUGGUUUUUGCUCUAAGAGAUGCCAGAGCUCAGUCAGUGACCCAGCCUGAUGGCCAUGUGUUGGUCUCUGAAGGAGCCCGUCUGGAGUUGAGAUGCACCUAUUCAUAUGAUAGAGCUCCUGCUCUCUUCUGGUACGUCCAGUACCCCAGCCAAGGCCUCCAGCUUCUCCUCAAGUACUUUUCAGGGGAUGCCUUGGUUAAAGGCAUCAAAGGGUUUGAGGCUGAAUUUAGGAAAAAUGAAUCUUCUUUCAACCUGAGGAAAUCCUCAGCCCAUUGGAGUGACUCAGCUGUGUACUUCUGUGUUCUGAGUGACACAGUGCUGGAGACUGUAGAGGGAGCUGAACACAAACUGUGA